CCUACCCCAGGCGGAGGAAAAAAAAAAUUUAAUUAUAAAAAUUUAAAAAUUUUAUUAAUUCUAUGUAGUAUUCAGAUGCGGGUUCAAAUUGGCCCUACCCCUACUCGGAUCCAACUCCAACUCCAUGGCCCGCCCCACUUUUGUUUGCCCUAGGUUUUCAAAAAAGAAAAAACGCAUGAGGGAGAGAAAACGAGAGAUAAAGAAAGAAGAAGAGGGUCUGCGAGUGAUAAAGAAAACCAGUGAGAGAAAAAGGGAGCACCGACUACCGCACUGAAGAAGGUCUGCAGCGUGAAAAGGAGGAGACAAGAGGUGCUGAGCACGAGCACGCUGGUCGCUGCUGCUUGCUGGCUUCAAGAAGAGACUUUACUUCACUUGUGGUAAUUCGAAAAGCAAGUUAGCGAGGGGAGAAAACAACUCUUCAUUGUUCUACAUAGUGCAAGAGGUUCAACAGAUUUUUUGUGUUAGCUUAUUGAGAAAAUGAAGAAAAGCAUACAAGAUUAUUUCAAAAAGAAACAAGUUAUUGAUCAAGUGAGAGAAAACCAAGAGGGAGAAGACCAGGAGGG